ensembl:lncRNA
GGAUAACCCUGAUUUCCAUAUGCAGAUUUAUCUGCACUGACAGCCCCCUCUCCCUCUCUUAGUCUUUCUGUUUCCUCUCUCCCUCCCUCUCUCUCCCUCUUUCUCUUCCCCUCUCUUUCUCUUCCUCUCUGUCUUUUUGUCUCUCUUUAUGUCUAUUGCAUUAUGCUUGAAUAAUUUUCAGCUGGGGUUUUUUUUUUCUCUCCUCUUGCACAUGCUAAAAUAACUAGACAAAGAUGCAAGGUGGUUGCUGCAGUCCCUGUCUCUAGGACAAAACCAAGAAAGCUCGGGUUUGCAAUGCCACCUUUCCUUUUUUUUUUUUUUUCUUUCUUUUUUUUUUCCCCCACCCAUGCUCGGUGAUUAAACUUACCCAGGAUGGGGAAGAAAAAGGAGCUGGAAAUGAGAUAAGGUUAAGGAAAAAGCCCAUUGCAGCAGCUGCAGCCAGUGGUGUCUGCUGCCAGAUGUGCUAAGGUUCCUGGGGUCCUUGACACUAAAAGGCAGUAUUAAAAUAUUUGGAGACAAAAGCUGCAUCUUCAGUGCUCAUUUUCUUUAUUUAACAUGGCAGCAAGCACCGUGUGGGGGAAAAUCAACACGCUGGAUGUUGAAUUGGACUUUUCUCCGUUCUAGGAUGAAAGGAUGUUAUCUAUCCCGUGCCAAGAGGGAACUAAGAGCAAUGAACAUAUGGCUGUUACUAUCAGCACUAGUGUAUUUGCGGCGAUGCCUAUCAACAUCCACCAGAGAGCAGGGCAGCUCCAAAACCCACAUCUUUUAUGCUGUGGAAAUUGAUGGAGACAGCAACACAGCCAGCUUCUUGGCCAAACAACAUGGAAUGCAGUUCAUUUCAAAGGUGAAACGGGUGAAUAUCAGACAGCUCAUUAUAGAGACAAGCAUGCUGCAUUCCCCGAGUAGGAUGACAGAACAAGUCAUGGGAUCUGGGAAACAUCCUGCCUCCCCUAGGCCCAGGGGCCGUGGAAGAGCAGCAUCACCAGUGUCCAUGGGCAGGAUGAACAAACUGGCUGUGCUCCUUGCAGUUGCUCCUACUGCUGAAGAGGAAACUGUAUCUGAGCUUUUUCACUCGCUCUCUGGUCCCUGUGCUGAAGCUGCUUCAAACAGCUGUCUGUGUAUGUGCUCCACAAUUUGGGCACUAUUUUUGGAGUCUUAUGUGCCUUGGAAUGAAAUGUCCCUGUUCUGCUCAGCUCCCAAAGGCAUUCCCAUUGAGAGCAAAAGAGAUGUCACCUGUGGGCCCUCCUGCCUUUUGCUGAGGAAUCAAAGUCAACCACCUCCUGCAACAGCCCAUGGGGCAGGUAUGCCAUCAUUCCCCGUGCACUGUCAGGUACCAGCACCCAACAAAUAUGACUCCAACACAGCCAGAUGACAGGGUCUGCAGAGGUCUUCUGAUCUGAAUGGGAGAGUGCAUUUUACUUCAUCUGUAUGUGCUUGGAGAAUAACACAUCAAAAUUCUUCUUGAAAAGUAUGGCCAAGUUAGGUCUGUCCACGGUUCCCCACUAUGCUCUUUCCAGUGUAUGGAUCAACAUCAAAUGCAUUGUAGUUUUGGCAAAUAAUUUCUCCCACUCUUCCCUUUCUCUUCCCCCUCCCCUCCCAGCUGACACACAGUGACUAUAGGGGGCAAUGCAACCUCAUCAUACAGCCUGUGUACAUCAGCUACAUACCACAUUAAUAGGCGGAAACUUUAAAGUCUUCGUUUUUACUUCUUGCUUUUGAGCAAUUUGUACCAUGGUAAGCUGUAUUGUUAUUUGGGCCCCAUAAAAUGAGACAUUUUAACUUCAGAUAAGCUUUUACCAGUUACAUUUUUUUGAUUGUUUGUAAAUGAAAGUUAAUAAAGAGUGAUUUCAUUUCA